rnacentral:rRNA from 1 species
GACGAACGCUGGCGGCGUGCUUAACACAUGCAAGUCGAACGGAAAGGCCCUGCUUUUGUGGGGUGCUCGAGUGGCGAACGGGUGAGUAACACGUGAGUAACCUGCCCUUGACUUUGGGAUAACUUCAGGAAACUGGGGCUAAUACCGGAUAGGAGCUCCUGCUGCAUGGUGGGGGUUGGAAAGUUUCGGCGGUUGGGGAUGGACUCGCGGCUUAUCAGCUUGUUGGUGGGGUAGUGGCUUACCAAGGCUUUGACGGGUAGCCGGCCUGAGAGGGUGACCGGCCACAUUGGGACUGAGAUACGGCCCAGACUCCUACGGGGGGCAGGAGUGGGGAAUAUUGCACCAUGGGCGGAAGGCUGAUGCAGCAACGCCGCGUGCGGGAUGACGGCCUUCGGGUUGUAAACCGCUUUCGCCUGUGACGAAGCGUGAGUGACGGUAAUGGGUAAAGAAGCACCGGCUAACUACGUG